AUGGCCUUCGAGUAUGAGCGCCUAACAGGCUCCGUCAGCUCCAGUGACAUACCCAGCAGCGACGUACCCACCUACAGCAGCCCCUCCUCCUCGGACUACUACCGGACAUCCUCCUUCAGCACUAGCCUGCAGUCCUCCUCCCCUCAGAUAGGGCUGUCCAGCCCUACGCCUACACCUCCCAUCAUGCCGUUCAAACCUACCACCGGUGUCAUCAGACAGAGGACAUUGACCGUGAGCUUUCCUGAAGAGGCUGAUCGAGAGUCUGAGAGAGAAACUGAGGGAGAGGCAUCUCUCUCAGUGGACCUGGCUGCCUCCAGUAGCCCAAGCCCUUCUGAAAACCAAUCCUCGCCUUUGGAGACAAGUCCUCUGUGCUUGAGGUCUUCAGGAACCAGUUUUGAAUCUGCUGGAACCCAUUUGGAAUCUUCUGGAUCCAGUCUGGGGUCUUUAGGAACCGACCUGCUGGUGAAGGUCGAGGCCGUUAUUCAGGAGGUGAUAAGGGGAGCCGUAGAUAAACUAGAGGCCGAGAGGAACAACAGGCACGGAAGAAGGGUGAGAAACAUGAGUCCUGAGGAAAAGGCUGAGAGUGUCUCCAAGAGUACUGAGGCUGCAUCAAGAGAGAGUAGUGGUGAGAGGAGAGUCAGGGGAGUGGGGAGCAAUGGUAAGAAGGUGGAGACUGUUGCAGAUAGAGUGGCAAAGACAGAAGUGUCGACUAUUGCAGACACAACAGCCAAGACUGAACUUCUGACUAUUGAAGAUACAAUGGCUAAACUGGAGAUAAAGAAAGUCGAGAUUAUUGCUGAUGUGAUACCCAAGACUGCAAGUAAAGAGGUGGCCACUACGAUGGAAAAGGUGGAGGCUAAGGAAGAGGAUAAUCUUGCAGAUGUGAUGGCAAGGACUGAAUUUACAGAGGUGCCAAUUAUUGCAGGUACAACUGCCAAGAAUGAAGUUCAGGAAGUGGAGACUAUUGCAGAUGUAACGGAAAAUACCAAAAUUAAGGAAGUAGUUGAGAUUAACAAGAGGGACACCCAAGAGGCAAAGGUAAAGGCUAGUUUUGAGACAGAGGUCGAGCUGACUAAAAGGUUGGACAUUGACACGAAAACGGAAGAAGAAGCCAAUGCUGAGAUGAACCCAGAUGAACAAGACAAUACCAUAUCGGAGAAUAACAACAGAUGCUUUGAGCUUAUUCUAACAGCUAGAGAGGCCAAGAUAGAAGUCAGAGAUGAGAAAAUAGAAUGCAAGGUAGAACUCAGGGAUGAGAAUAUUGGUGCAAAGAAUGAAACUAUGGAUGCAACGGAUUCUGUUGAGAAUGCACAUGCUGGGAAAAGUGAACACAGCCACGUAAGCCCUGAGCUAUUUCAGUCAUCAUCAGACAAUGAUGAAGGCGGUCCUUCGAUGUUCCCCAUGACCAGCAUGUUGAAGAGCGCUGCCCUGUCCUCGGACCAGGUUGAUGAGAUCCUAGACAAGGUAAUGUAUUGUACAGUCCAUUGUUUUUAUGCAUAG
rnacentral:lncRNA from 1 species